rnacentral:rRNA from 1 species
CCUACGGGCAGCAGCAGUGAGGAAUAUUGGUCAAUGGACGAGAGUCUGAACCAGCCAAGUAGCGUGAAGGAUGACUGCCCUAGGGGUUGUAAACUUCUUUUAUAAAGGAAUAAAACGAGGCACGUGUGCCUUUUUGCAUGUACUUUAUGAAUAAGGAUCGGCUAACUCCGUGCCAGCAGCCGCGGUAAUACGGAGGAUCCGAGCGUUAUCCGGAUUUAUUGGGUUUAAAGGGAGCGUAGAUGGGUUGUUAAGUCAGUUGUGAAAGUUUGCGGCUCAACCGGAAAAUUGCAAUUGAUACUGGCAGUCGUGAGUACAGUUGAGGUAGGCGGAAUUCGUGGUGUAGCGGUGAAAUGCUUAGAUAUCACGAAGAACCCCGAUUGCGAAGGCAGCUUACUAAACUGUGACUGACAUUGAUGCUCGAAAGUGUGGGUAUCAAACAGGAUUAGAUACCCCAGUAGUC